ensembl:lncRNA
AAAACCGCAGGUGCUUCCUGUAAGGAGCUGACUUUGGAGGCCUCGCUGAUCUUGGGUUGGAAAUAGGGAUCGAUCCCUAUUCAUUUCUACUAUUUCCUUAGCUGACACUCUUGAAAAACAACCGGUGACUCAGAGAAGCUCUUUUGAGUUCUCGAGCUGAAAAGUCCAGGGGCGGUCUUUGGAAAUAAGGAGACACCGGUUUGGUCCCUGGUCUGGGAAGAUCCCACAUGCCAAGGAGCAACUAAACCUGCACGCCACAACCACUGAGCCUGUGCGCUAGAGCCCGGGAACCCCAACCACUGAGCCUACUUGGCUGCAACUAGUGAAGCCCGAGCACCCGAGAGCCCGUGCUCUGCAGCAAGAGAAGUCACUUCAAUGAGAAGCCUGCACCCUGCACCUAGAGAGUAGCCCCCACUCGCCAUGACCAGAGAAAACCCACGCAUGGCAAGGAAGCGCAGCUAAAAAUAAAAAGGCUGCUGCUGCUGCUAAGUUGCUUCAGUAGUGUCCAACUCUGCGUGACCCCAUAGAUGGCAGCCCACCAGGCUCCCCCGUCCCUGGGAUUCUCCAGGCAAGAACACUGGUGCGGGUUGCCAUUUCCUUCUCCAAUGCAUGAAAGUGAAAAGUGAAAGUGAAGUCGCUCAGUCGUGUCUGACUCUUAACGACCCCAUGGACUGCAGCCCACCAGGCUCCUCCGUCCAUGGGAUUUUCCAGGCAAGAGUACUGGAGUGGGUCACCAUUGCCUUCUCUGAAAUACCUCUAAUUCCCUCCAUGACUUCUCAAUAUAUUUACAAGCUUCCAGAACCUUCAUUAACCCAGCUACCUUUCCCAGGUAAACUGUGUGCUGUCAGUGUGUGCUCAGUGACUCUGAGUGGUCUAACCAGGACAGACAUCCCCAGACUAUCACUUUCUCUGAUCUGGAAUCCUGAAGGCACCCGAUGUACCUCCUCUGAUUGUAUAUCCACCCUGCCAUCUACAUUUUUGGAGCUCAUUAGCUCAUUCCAUAAAUAC